AACGAACGCUGGCGGCAUGCCUAACACAUGCAAGUCGAACGAGACCUUCGGGUCUAGUUGCGCACGGGUGCGUACCGCGUGGGAACCUGCCCUUAGGUUCGGUAUACCUCCCCGUAAGGGGUGCUAAUACCGGUUAAUGUAUUCGGACCAAAGAUUUGGCGCUUGUGGAUGGGCUUGGGGCGGAUUAGCUUGUUGGUGGGGUAGAGGCCUACCAAGGCUACGAUGGGUAGCCGGUCUGAGAGGGUGACCGGCCACAUUGGGACUGAGAUACGGCCCAGACUCCUACGGGAGGCAGCAGUGGGGAAUAUUGCACAAUGGGCGGAAGCCUGAUGCAGCAACGCCGCGUGCGGGAUGACGGCCUUCGGGUUGUAAACCGCUUUCGCCUGUGACGAAGCGUGAGUGACGGUAAUGGGUAAAGAAGCACCGGCUAACUACGUG
rnacentral:rRNA from 1 species